CGCUCGCCUCCCAGUAGUUUUUAUAUUGAAGAAAAAUAUAUCAGAGCAUCAAAUAGUACAACCUUAUGUACUUAAAAAAAUUACUUUCUAUCUGUCUACUCUAAGAUCAGUAGAGUAAGCACAGUUGCACAUUUUAUGUUCUCACCUAGUUAUAGCACCCUCUUCCUGUUCUCAACUCCAUUGAAGAGUUGCUACUUGUCAGUAUUUCUGUUAGUUGUCAGUAUCCAUUAGGAUCUGUAUUUUUGCCAUUUUAAAAAUCAACAGUUCUGAGUUACUAAAAAAUUGCAAAUGGUAGUUCCGGAGGUUCUAUACGUUGCCAUAGAAGAGCAUUCCAUUGGGUGUUUAAGGAACUGUUGGAGGAAACACGUUAAAGAUCAGUUAGGAAUGAUCAGAAGUCACUUGACCUUUUGAGGGACAUUGAUAAUAUCCUUAUAGCCUAGGAGGAAAAGAGCCACUAUUGUACGACGAAGCACAGCAGGAAAAUUUUAUGGCUGGAGUCGUGUUAUGACUUCCUGAGCUGACUCAGAAAUUGGAAUGAGUUGUCUGUGGAUCCUGUAAGGAGCCUGGACAUGGUGAAGAGAAUGCCUUGACCAUCAGGAGACAGCUUAGCUUGUUGAAUCUUGAUCACUUCUUCUGACCGCUUUGGAUCUUAAAAGAACA
rnacentral:lncRNA from 1 species